rnacentral:rRNA from 1 species
CCCUUAGAUGUUCUGGGCUGCACGCGCGCUACACUGAUGCGCUCAACGAGUUUUAACCUUGCCUGGAAAGGUUGGGUAAUCUUUUUAAAACGCAUCGUGAUGGGGAUAGAUUAUUGCAAUUAUUAAUCUUCAACGAGGAAUGCCUAGUAGGCGCAAGUCAUCAGCUUGCGUCGAUUACGUCCCUGCCCUUUGUACACACCGCCCGUCGCUCCUACCGAUUGGGUGUGCUGGUGAAAUGUUCGGAUCGGCCGUUUGUCGCGGUUUCCGCGGCUCGUGGCUGAGAAGUUCAUUAAACCCUCCCACCUAGAGGAAGGAGAAGUCGUAACA